GCUGGCUCCAGAGGCAAGGCUGCAGUCAGCAAACACUCCCGGCCUUAAAAUGGUGAACCUCAGCAGCACCCCAGCCUGUGAGCUGGACAGGUUCAUAAAGGAUCACCUCCCUGCUGACACCAGCUUCCAUGCUGAGCUCAGAGCAGACAUUGACUUCAUAUGUGCUUUCCUGAAGGAGAGAUGCUUCCAAGGUGCCGCUCACCCUGUGAGGGUCUCCAGGGUUGUGAUGGUGAGUCUCAUUAUCCUGAGCUGACCAGGAUGGGGUGGGAGAGGACUCUCAGAAGCCAGACUGUAGUCCUUAGUGGGGAGUGGGUGCCCCCUAAAUACUCUGUGCUUAGUGUCCUCAUGUAUACCCCAGCUAUGGCACAGGGCAGAGAACAGAGCAGAGACCCCCCUCCCGC
rnacentral:lncRNA from 1 species